rnacentral:rRNA from 1 species
UACGGAGGGGACUAGCGUUGUUCGGAAUUACUGGGCGUAAAGCGCACGUAGGCGGAUUGUUAAGUCAGGGGUGAAAUCCCGAGGCUCAACCUCGGAACUGCCUUUGAUACUGGCAGGCUUGAAUCCGGGAGAGGGAUGUGGAAUUCCAGGUGUAGCGGUGAAAUGCGCAGAUAUCUGGAGGAACACCGGUGGCGAAGGCGGCAUCCUGGACCGGCAUUGACGCUGAGGCGCGAAAGCCAGGGGAGCAAACGGG